AAGAUGUUUAUUUUGGUAUUCCUUGACUUGAUUCGUGCCCUCAUGGGUCACUUCAAGUCUGUCCCAAAUUUCUUUUGUCAGAAUUACAAGUUGAAACCCUAUUGAAUUCAUUACGGUCUAAGGCACAAUAAAACACAUUCAUAGCUUUAGACGUUUAAUUGUGCCUUCCUCAUGUCAUGUUCAUCCCAAUCCUUUUCUAAUUUGGGUACCUUAACACCCUCUACAUAUGUGGAUGGGAUGUAUGGGCCAUUCACUACAAUGGUCCACAUCUCAUAGUCUUGGGCUUGGAUGAAUAUUCUCAUCCUAGCCUUCCAGUAUGAGUAGUCGGAUCCAUUGAAGAAAGGGGGUCUUUGGGUGGACUGACCCUCAAUGUGAGAAGAUCCAAAUGGGCUUGUCAUUUUGAUCUUUUAACUCUUGAGUGAAAGAGUUUUUGGCUCUGAUACCACUUGUUGCUCAGAUAGACAACCCAAGAGGGGGGGGUGAAUUGGGUUUUAAAUUAAUUUG
rnacentral:lncRNA from 1 species